ensembl:lncRNA
GCUAAGCUGCUUCCGUCGUGUCCGAGUCUGUGCGACCCUGGGGACUGCAGCCCAUCAGGCUCUUCUGUCCGUGGGAUUCUCCAGACGAUUCAUCAAAGUUAUGUGCAUUUUUGACCUCAGUGAAUGAAGUGGAGGAAUGCAGUCCAGCAAGAGGCAGAGGAGAAGGCUGAAACCACAGGAAAGGAAGAAAAAGAAACCUUCUUCAGAAUUCCAUGGAUGGAGGGGUCUGGAGGGCUAUGGUCCAUGGGAUUGCAAAGAGUCGGACACGACUGAGCAACUAACACUAAACCUUCUUCAACAUGGGAAGAGCAGGAAACUGGGCCUCUGUGUUAGUGUCCAGAAAAAGCGUGGGGUUGUCUUGGCCUAACAGACAAGUCGAGGCGUUUUGGGACCAGGAUCUGCCAGGGUACUAACCUGCAUUAAUGCAGGUCAUAAACCUAUAAGGGAGGGUCACAGUCACACAUUACAUGGUUGCCGUUCAAUAAAUAUCUUAAC